rnacentral:rRNA from 1 species
CCGCUCAGAGUGAACGCUGGCGGUAGGCCUAACACAUGCAAGUCGAACGGCAGCACAGAGGAGCUUGUUCCUUGGGUGGCGAGUGGCGGACGGGUGAGGAAUACAUCGGAAUCUACUUUUUCGUGGGGGAUAACGUAGGGAAACUUACGCUAAUACCGCAUACGACCUACGGGUGAAAGCAGGGGACCUUCGGACCUUGCGCGAUUGAAUGAGCCGAUGUCGGAUUAGCUAGUUGGCGGGGUAAAGGCCCACCAAGGCGACGAUCCGUAGCUGGUCUGAGAGGAUGAUCAGCCACACUGGAACUGAGACACGGUCCAGACUCCUACGGGAGGCAGCAGUGGGGAAUAUUGGACAAUGGGCGCAAGCCUGAUCCAGCCAUACCGCGUGGGUGAAGAAGGCCUUCGGGUUGUAAAGCCCUUUUGUUGGGAAAGAAAUCCAGCCGGCUAAUACCUGGUUGGGAUGACGGUACCCAAAGAAUAAGCACCGGCUAACUUCGUGCCAGCAGCCGCGGUAAUACGAAGGGUGCAAGCGUUACUCGGAAUUACUGGGCGUAAAGCGUGCGUAGGUGGUUGUUUAAGUCUGUUGUGAAAGCCCUGGGCUCAACCUGGGAACUGCAGUGGAAACUGGACAACUAGAGUGUGGUAGAGGGUAGCGGAAUUCCCGGUGUAGCAGUGAAAUGCGUAGAGAUCGGGAGGAACAUCCAUGGCGAAGGCAGCUACCUGGACCAACACUGACACUGAGGCACGAAAGCGUGGGGAGCAAAACAGGAUUAGAUACCCUGGUAGUCCACGCCCUAAACGAUGCGUAACUGGGAUGUUGGGUGCAAAUUUGGCACGCAGUAUCGAAAGCUAACGCGUAAGUUCGCC